rnacentral:rRNA from 1 species
UACGUAGGGGGCAAGCGUUGUCCGGAUUUAUUGGGCGUAAAGAGCGUGUAGGCGGCCAGGUAGGUCAGCUGUGAAAACUCGAGGCUCAACCUCGAGACGUCGGUUGAAACCACCUGGCUAGAGUCCGGAAGAGGAGAGUGGAAUUCCUGGUGUAGCGGUGAAAUGCGCAGAUAUCAGGAAGAACACCAACGGCGAAGGCAGCUCGCUGGGACGGUACUGACGCUGAGACGCGAAAGCGUGGGGAGCGAACAGG